UACGUAGGGGGCAAGCGUUGUCCGGAAUCAUUGGGCGUAAAGCGCGUGUAGGCGGCUCGGUAAGUCCGCCCUGAAAGUCCAGGGCUCAACCCUGGGAUGCGGGUGGAUACUGCCGGGCUCGAGUCCGGAAGAGGCGAGUGGAAUUCCCGGUGUAGCAGUGAAAUGCGUAGAGAUCGGGAGGAACAUCUGUGGCGAAGGCGGCCACCUGGACCAGCACUGACACUGAGGCACGAAAGCGUGGGGAGCAAACAGGA
rnacentral:rRNA from 1 species